rnacentral:rRNA from 1 species
GAUGGACGCUGGCGGCGUGCCUAAUACAUGCAAGUCGAGCGAAUGGAUUAAGAGCUUGCUCUUAUGAAGUUAGCGGCGGACGGGUGAGUAACACGUGGGUAACCUGCCCAUAAGACUGGGAUAACUCCGGGAAACCGGGGCUAAUACCGGAUAACAUUUUGAACCGCAUGGUUCGAAAUUGAAAGGCGGCUUCGGCUGUCACUUAUGGAUGGACCCGCGUCGCAUUAGCUAGUUGGUGAGGUAACGGCUCACCAAGGCAACGAUGCGUAGCCGACCUGAGAGGGUGAUCGGCCACACUGGUACUGAGACACGGCCCAGACUCCUACGGGAGGCAGCAGUAGGGAAUCUUCCGCAAUGGACGAAAGUCUGACGGAGCAACGCCGUGUGAGUGAUGAAGGCUUUCGGGUCGUAAAACUCUGUUGUUAGGGAAGAACAAGUGCUAGUUGAAUAAGCUGGCACCUUGACGGUACCUAACCAGAAAGCCACGGCUAACUACGUGCCAGCCGCCGCGGUAA